AGUGACCGGCAGUCCCCGGGUAGCCAGGGUGUCUGGGUGUUGGGACCGCUUAGUCGCGAGACCCCAGCAAACCUCUUGGCGUCUCUGAGCCUCAGCUUUUGCUUCUGUAGAAUAGGGUGUACUCAUCGUACAUUUCAUGGGAAUACCUAACGCAGUCAUUUGGAUGGUCCUGUGAGGUAGAAAACAUUGUCCAACGUUCUACGCGAGGAAAUGUGGCUGGGCCACAGGACUGGACUCCCCAGUCCCGCUUUUGCCUGAAGACUUCGAGGGACGCAGUUGGAGCGCAAGGCUCCUGCUUGGCGGUGAGGCAGAGGGCUAACGACCUUCCUUCUCCUAAAUUCACUGAUGCGGCGGCAAGAAUGGCACCGCCUCGUAGAGCUACCGCAUUUCCCAAACUCGUAGUCUCAGGACCACUUUAUACUCAUAAAAAUGAGGGCCCCAAGCUUUUGCUAAUGUGGGUUACAGCUAUCGAUGUUACCACAUUCUAAGUUAAAAUGCUUUAAAGUUUUUUGUUGUUUCGUUUAAAAGUAAACAGCCGGGCGCGGUAGCUCACGCCUGUAAUCCCAGCACUUUGGGAGGCUGAGGCGGGCGUAUCACCUGAGGUCAGGAGUUUGAGACCAGCCUGGCCAACAUGGUGAAACCCUGUCUCUACUAAAAAUACAAAAAUGAGCCAGGUAUGGUGGCGCAGGCCUGUAAUCCCAGCUACUCCGGAGGCUGAGGCAAGAGAAUCAUUUGAACCCAGGAGGCGGAGGUUGCGGUAAGCCAAGAUCGCGCCAUUGCACUCCAGCGUGGACGACAGAGUGAGACUCCAUCUCAAAAAAAAAAAAAAAAAAAAAAGUAAACAUUACAUUCCACGCCCACCACCAAAAUAAAGGAGUGGUAUUGUUUUACACUUUUGCAAAUCUUUUUAAAAUCUGACCUAAUAGGUUCUCACAUGUGCUUCGGCAUUCGGUCUGCUGCAAUAUAUUGCAUUGGUUGACAUACACAUUGUGAAGAACAUCUGCAGUUAUGUAGUUCACAAAGAGAGGACCUGCAGACCCAACUUUGAGAACGGCUGGGCACCUUGCCAGGCCUUGGGAAUUGUAGUGAAAUCAGGCCAGUGACUCAGGAAAAUGAGCUGAAGGCUUUGAGCAUCUCUUUCCUCCAUUUUAGGCCUCAAAAGGGAGGCUGGGGCAGGGCAUGGUGACUCAUGCCUGUAAUCCCAGCAUUCUGGGAGGCCGAGGUGGGCGGAUCGCUUGAGCUUAGGAAUUCCAAACCAGCCUGGCAACAUGGUGAAACCCUGUCUCUACAAAAAAUUAGCAGGGUGUGGUAUCUGUGCCUGUAGCCCCAGCUACUUGUAGGGCUGAGGGGCUGAGGCGGGAGGAUCGCUUGUGCCCGGGAGGUUGAGGCUGCAGUGAGCCGUGAUCAAGCCACUGCACUCUAGCCUGGGUGACAAAGCAAGAUUCUGUCUCAAAAAAAAAAAGUGGGGGAGGCUGGGUGUGGUGGCUCACGCCUGUAAUCCCAGCACUUUGGGAGGCCAAGGCGGUGGAUCAUGAGGUCAGGAGUUUGAGACCAGCCUGGCCAAUAUGGUGAAACCCCAUCUCUACUAAAAAUACAAAAAUUAGCUGGGUGUGUGGUGCACGCCUGCAAUCCCAGCUACUCGGGAGGCUGAGGCAGGAGAAUUACUUGAACCCGGGAGGUAGAGGUUGCAGUGAGCCCAGAUCGUGCCACUGCAUUCCAGCCUGGGCAACAGAGCAAGACUCCGUCUGA
rnacentral:lncRNA from 1 species